UACGGAGGGGGCGAGCGUUAUUCGGAAUUAUUGGGCGUAAAGAGCUCGUAGGCGGCUCAGUAAGUCAGGUGUGAAAACUCCAGGCUCAACCUGGAGACGCCACUUGAUACUGCUGUGGCUAGAGUCCGGUAGGGGAGCAUGGAAUUCCUGGUGUAGCGGUGAAAUGCGCAGAUAUCAGGAGGAACACCAGUGGCGAAGGCGGUGCUCUGGGCCGGAACUGACGCUGAGGAGCGAAAGCGUGGGGAGCAAACAGG
rnacentral:rRNA from 1 species